UUCUGGCCUAAGCAAGGAGCUGUAGUUCACCUUGCAGCCACUAGGGGUGCUACAUUUGUUGUUGUGUUUUUUGGACCUCAUGGCUCACUGUAGGAGGCCAUUUUGGUUUUCUCAUUCAUUGAUAAGACCACGUUGUCGACACUAGCCUUUUGAAGGAUCUAAAUCCAUCCUGGACUAGGAAGGAACUGUAGAAUCAUUGUCUUUUUACUCCAUUUUGCAUUCUGUCAAUGAAUAACGGUGGCACUCAAAUAAAUCAACAUUUAUUGACUACGGAAUGUGGAAGGAGUUAUCUGUCUGUCUAGUUGAGGAAGGGGACUCUUUAACGAGGGCGGAACAGGGACUUCACCACUGCUUGUACCCUCAUCUUCGUUCCUUUUGGCAAGCUGUCUGGUGUGCAACAAUGGCCCGAGUGUUGCACCUGAGCGCCCGUGCCACAGAAGGACACAACUCGCACCUCCUGCGCAAUGUUUGACAAUUCAUUCAAAAGGUGGAGGGAAGAAAAGAGAGGCCCUCUUUAAUGCCGAGGUUUUCUUAUAAACCAAAUUUUCUUUUUGUAAUAUUCAGAUUUAUCUGCUAUAACUCCAAAAUACUGUAUGUUUAUUUGCCUCAUCCACUGAUACCUAUUUUGCGCUUGCAGUCAUCCUGCUUUCCGUCCAAACUCUCCAUGACGUAAACCAGUAGAACACACAAGAACCUAACUUAAAUAGUACCGCCUCCACAAGGUUUGUACCAGGUGUCAUUCACGCACAUUUUCAUAAUAGAUCACCUGCAAAUUGCACACCAACAAACGUGCAUUUUUUGGAGUGAACACGCAAUUUAGUACUCUUCACUUGGGAGCUUAGUAAAUCAGGCCCUUAAUGUAAACAGGUACGCAUGAUGGCUGCCAUUCACUUAUGUAUGUUGGUGUGUGUCAGCGUGCCCCUGUGAUGCUCUUCCACGUAGGGAGCAGAGGAGCAGGGGAAAGUAGCUGCAGCUACAUCACGCGUGCUUAAUUCUCAGCAUAGUUUUCAGACUGUUGGAUAUAAACAUUUACCCCCGGUGUGGCAGAUAGCCAUGUGGAAUUUUCUUUACCUGCUUCUGAAUUAGCACUAGCCAUUCCUACACAGUUCAUCAUAUCCCCCUCAGUUUAAAGCUCAAAUGUCUACGUCCAACGUGGUUGCCAUACGAAUGCGUCGUCGCCAUCAAACAGGAAGUAGUAUUUUCAGGGCUUCACAUUGUCGUACACUCACAAAACUUCAUACACAUUAUCCCAGAGGGAAAGUAUAACGUUCCAUAUUGGUUAAGUGGGCGUGGCUAAAUGGCUCAGUGGCGCCCCCUUCAAACAUUCAAAAAGACCUCCCCGUAGGGGUUUUCUUCACCUACAUGCUUGAUAUUUUUUAUGCAUAUCAGGCCCUACAUAAAAUCCUCUUGCACCCAUUGUCAAAACCCAACAUGAAGUCCACCAAUUUCAUCCCAUUUUUCAAAAUAAUGCCUGUUUAACAGACAAAAACAGCGUUUAUUUCAUUCAUCUCCUCGGACCCUCUUGGGUUUCAAGAGGGUCCUCGUACUCUGUGCAUCCUCGGGCCUGAAUAACACUUUUUUUUUGUGAAUUCUGUUGUAUAAGACCUACUUGUGUUUUUAUUGACAUCUUUGUGUACUUAUUUAGCUAACAACAUAGUCAAUUAAAAAUGUUUGUUUCCCAUUUGUUGUAAUUAGCCUAAUAGUUUCAAGCACUUGCCUUUUGAGUACUUAUGUCAAAGAGUAACCAU